rnacentral:rRNA from 1 species
GAUGAACGCUGGCGGCGUGCCUAAUACAUGCAAGUCGAGCGAACAGACGAGGUGCUUGUUCCUCUGACGUUAGCGGCGGACGGGUGAGUAACACGUGGAUAACCUACCUAUAAGACUGGGAUAACUUCGGGAAACCGGUGCUAAUACCGGAUAAUAUAUUUAAACGCAUGGUUCAAUAGUGAAAGAUGGUUUUGCUUUCCCUUAUAGAUGGAUCCGCGUCGCAUUAGCUAGUUGGUAAGGUAACGGCUUACCAAGGCGACGAUGCGUAGCCGACCUGAGAGGGUGAUCGGCCACACUGGAACUGAGACACGGUCCAAACUCCUACGGGAGGCAGCAGUAGGGAAUCUUCGGCAAUGGGCGAAAGCCUGACGGAGCAACGCCGCGUGAGUGAUGAAGGUCUUCGGAUCGUAAAACUCUGUUAUUAGGGAAGAACAAAUGUGUAAGUAACUAUGCACGUCUUGACGGUACCUAAUCAGAAAGCCACGGCUAACUACGUG